rnacentral:snRNA from 1 species
AGCUUUGCGCAGUGGCAGUAUCGUAGCCAAUGAGGUUUAUCCGAGGUGCGAUUAUUGCUAAUUGAAAUUUAUGUAGAUAGAGGUCAUGCACUCAUAACUCAUAUUUAUGUGCUUAUUAUUUUCUUAAUA